CUCACUCUGAAAGCGAAACCAGCCACCCACCAAACACGGGGCCUCUGCCACUCUGAGAGCUCUGGGAAGCCUGCUUGUCUCUCUCUUCACCAGCACUCAAAAUGGGAGCCCGUCAUCAAGUCAGAUUCGAGCAGAGGCUUCUGAUUGGGUGAGCCUGGUCACGUGCUACCAGAGAGGCCGGGGAAGCAAAGUGUGUGCCUGUUGCUCGAGACACGUCAACUCCUAACGAAGUCAACACCAAACACACAGGACAGGUUUGCACGGCUGCUGUGUGACCACAGCAUGAGAUAAAGAGACGUCCCCGAUGGAGGGCGCCUCCUUCGCCCGCCCUGGCCCUCAGCGCCACCCCCCCUCUGAAAGCGGCCCCUUGUGGGGUUUCGUUGUGUGUUUCAGUUAGAAUUAAUGACCAGUAUUUUCAAUGAGAGGAUUUCAUACUUAAAAAUAUCUCAAUGUUCUGCUCCUCUUGAAACUUUGGGAUUUUCUGGCGGUUUUCUGCCAUUUCUCCUGUAGGUGGGGCCCCAGUUUGCCCUGGUCCCUCCACCCCCUGCACCGGCCACCCCCACAGGCAUUGUAGUGGGGGCUCCUGCCCGAACUCACUGUGAGGGAGACCGGGCUGCCCCCCUCCAGGAAAGCCACUGGCGUCGGAGACCAGCAGAGUCCGGUGGACGUCAGUUACCGGCUGCUGGUCCAGGAGUGCCAUUGGCCCGUGCCGGUGGGGACGGCCCGGGAGCCUGCCCACCAACCUGAAAACAUGGAAACGACGUCCAGGGAAUCUCUUUUCAAGUUGGCAGUGCACCUGGGAGAGCUCACAGGGCGGCUCUGAGUCACGGCGCAGGAGCUGAGGCGGGUGCUGGGGACGCUGGCGGCUGCUGUCCAACGGCCUCCCUGAGAGGCGGUGGAGCCCCUGUACCUUCCCAGGCUCUGGAGCCGUCUGCACGGAUCGCACGCAGGCCUGGCUCUCCGGGGACGCCUGGGCAGACAUGUGCAUGGAAGGCCACGAGCAGAAGCUAUAGCUGGUGUGUGCGUGGAUCCGGCCUGGCUAGAGGUUUCCGCAGAGAGAGUCCGAUGUGCCCUGUCCAACAGACCCCAGUUCUACCUCUGGUUGUCACGUUCUGGCCGGAUGACCAGUGAGCCCCCGCUCUCUUGCCUGUGAGCCCUACAGCCAAAGUUUAGGUGGAAGACUGAGCAGUGUUGAGAUGCUCCAGGCCUGGAAUUGUCCCCUGAGAUGUCCUGGCCUGAGCCCCUCAUGAAGGAAAUACGUUCUGGUGACGCAGAAGGGUCGACGGUGAAAAACGGCCUUCCUGCCCCUUCCUCACCUGGCUUUCUUUCCCAGAAGAACCAACACUCCUGCUUUCUUGAGAAGCUUCCAGAAUCCGGUCUUGGCUAGUAUUCACAUCUUGCUGGUGGUUGUCACCCUCUCCUGCAGCCAGAAAGCCUU